rnacentral:rRNA from 1 species
AUUGAACGCUGGCGGCAUGCCUAACACAUGCAAGUCGAACGGCAGCACAGCAGUAGCAAUACUGUGGGUGGCGAGUGGCGGACGGGUGAGGAACACAUAGGAAUCUACCUCGUUGUGGGGGAUAACGUAGGGAAACUUACGCUAAUACCGCAUACGACCGAGAGGUGAAAGUGGGGGACCGCAAGGCCUCACGCGAUGAGAUGAGCCUAUGUCCGAUUAGCUAGUUGGCGGGGUAAGAGCCCACCAAGGCGACGAUCGGUAGCUGGUCUGAGAGGAUGAUCAGCCACACUGGAACUGAGACACGGUCCAGACUCCUACGGGAGGCAGCAGUGGGGAAUAUUGGACAAUGGGCGCAAGCCUGAUCCAGCAAUGCCGCGUGUGUGAAGAAGGCCUUCGGGUUGUAAAGCACUUUUGUACGGGAAGAAAAGCUUUAGAUUAAUACUCUGAAGUCAUGACGGUAC